CUACGGAGGGUGCAAGCGUUACUCGGAAUCACUGGGCGUAAAGCGCGCGCAGGCGGUCUUUUAAGUUGGAUGUGAAAGCCUACGGCUCAACCGUAGAACUGCAUCCAAAACUAUUAGACUAGAGUGUGGGAGAGGAAGAUGGAAUUAGUUGUGUAGGGGUAAAAUCCGUAGAGAUAACUAGGAAUACCAAAAGCGAAGGCAAUCUUCUGGAACACUACUGACGCUGAGGCGCGAAAGCGUGGGGAGCAAACGGGAUUAGAUACCCUUGUAGUCC
rnacentral:rRNA from 1 species